CCUACGGGGGGCAGCAGUGGGGAAUAUUGGACAAUGGGGGCAACCCUGAUCCAGCCAUGCCGCGUGUGUGAAGAAGGCCCUCGGGUUGUAAAGCACUUUCAGUGAGGAAGAACGCCUGGUGGUUAAUACCCAUCAGGAAAGACAUCACUCACAGAAGAAGCACCGGCUAACUCCGUGCCAGCAGCCGCGGUAAUACGGAGGGUGCGAGCGUUAAUCGGAAUUACUGGGCGUAAAGCGCGCGUAGGUGGCUUGAUAAGCCGGUUGUGAAAGCCCCGGGCUUAACCUGGGAACGGCAUCCGGAACUGUCAAGCUAGAGUGCAGGAGAGGAAGGUACAAUUCCCGGUGUAGCGGUGAAAUGCGUAGAGAUCGGGAGGAAUACCAGUGGCGAAGGCGGCCUUCUGGACUGACACUGACACUGAGGUGCGAAAGCGUGGGUAGCAAACAGGAUUAGAUACCCUUGUAGUC
rnacentral:rRNA from 1 species